rnacentral:rRNA from 1 species
UACGAGGGGGCAAGCGUUGUUCGGAAUUAUUGGGCGUAAAGGGUGCGUAGGCGGUUUGGUAAGUCUUAUGUGAAAUCCUACAGGCUCAACUUGUAGUCUGCAUGAGAAACUGCCGGGCUUGAGUAUGGGAGAGGUGAGUGGAAUUCCUGGUGUAGCGGUGAAAUGCGUAGAUAUCAGGAGGAACACCUGUGGCGAAAGCGGCUCACUGGACCAUAAACUGACGCUGGAUGCACGAAAGCUAGGGGAGCAAACAGG